GUCGGUUCAGCACAUAGCCUAUAUCCACUCUUAUUCAAUAUUCAGUGUGAAAGUAGAUUCAAAACAAAUAUGAACAUAUUUUUCAUACUACAUCUUCAUGCAUUUUCUUUGUAUAUUUCUCCUUAAGGCUACAAGACAUUUAUUAGUUGUUUGUUGAAACAAAAUAACUUCCUCUUCUAACAAAAUGUAGUUGUAACUAAUUAUUUCAUUUCUUUAACAUUUGCAGAAAUUGAAGCUCUCUUGCGCAAGAUGGUUCAUCAACAAAUUUCAGCAGCUCUUUCCUUCCAUUUUUGUUAUUUUCUCUUUGGUCUCGUUCUUUUCUUUGUGUUCUUCAAACUUGAGAAUAACGACUAAAAGUAUGGAUAUAUAUAGUACCAAGAAUAGCAAUGAAGUUACUUUUGCUCUUUAUGAUCUUUAGUCUUGUUCUUUGUUCUGGAUGAGCACAAGGUUGUUUUAAUAAGUUAGCAAAUUCCAAAAAGAAAACUUUAAAUUGAGACAAGUUUCUCUUCUUGUGUCCAAAAUUUAGAUUAACAGUAUAAUCAACUACUCUAAGAGCUUACUUGGUGUGCACUUGGUAUUUUUAAGCUUAAAAUUCUAUUUUUUUUCUUUAAACUUUGCAUCUUUUUUCUAUUUUAGUCUCUAAAUUUUUAAAAGUAUUUGUUUUGGUCCUCAAAUUUUUUAAAAAAGAAAACUUACUUUGAUCCCUGACAUUAAAAUUUUUAUUAACUCUUAACAGAACGAUAAUGUGGCUUUCUAUAUUUUGAUGAUUAUGCUCUGGAAGGAGUAACUUGCUGAGAAGAAGUCAUGCUUAGACUGAAUGCCUAGACAACGACCUGCAUGCUAAUUCGACUUGUAUUUUGCUUGGUGGAAUUAAUAUCUCGCCUUGCCUAGACAGAAUGUCUAGUCUAACCGCUUGAUGUCUCGCGUUGUGUAAUGAUCAAAACACCUAAGAAUCAGCUCAUAGGGACUUAUCACAAUCAGUUUCCCUAGUGAUCAGAUCGUCUGGUCAAAAUGCCUACUGCAAAAUAGAAACUAGUUAAUAAAGAGAGGGUGAGUCGCGAAUCUCGAUUUCUUUAAGACGUAAUUUCAUGGUUCUGCUCCUUUAUGCAAACAGAUUUGUAUAGUCUCGUCAGUCCCAAGAAUAAAAUAAUCGUGUUCAGCAAUCAGAAAUGCACGGAGACUUAUUGGAAUACCAACACUGAAAAUAGACGCUUUCGAAUUACCCCACCCCAUCGCUUUUGUUGGGAAAGUAGCUCUCGGAAAGCUCACAUAAAGAUAGUAUAAGCAAAAGAAGUUUUUCUCAUUUUUCUCGUAUAUAUUAAAAUGAAGAAGAAAAAAGUCUUUAUAUAGUGGAGGAGACUAAAAAAGACGUUGGUAAUUAAAUAGAAAAUUUUAAUUAUGAAAACGUUUGUAAUUAAGGGAGUAUAACAUUGGAAAUUAAAUAUAAAACAAAAUAAAAACGUUUGAUUCUUGUAUUAAAUAUAAAAAUAUAAUAGCAUUAUUACAUCUCAUCUCACAUAGGAUAGUGACAUAUGAGAGAAGAUUAUAGCAAAUCGCUUAGCCAUCUCGCCUUGGAUGGUAAUUUGCACGUGGAGAUUAGCAAAUUACUCGCCUAGCCAUUAGCCAUCUCACCUCAGAUCGCUACAAAUCGCCUAUCUUCUUUCCUUUCCAAACUCACAAUUGGAUGAGUAUUUCGUAAUAAUGUCAUUUUCAAAAAAAAUCAUCAACAGAUCAUAAUAUAAUGUUUAAUUCAGAAUUGAACCAUACGAGACAAAACUCUAAAUUCAAAAUCUCACAAAAGCAUGAAAUAAUGGUAAACUCCUAAACGCCCCAAGGUAGAAUAGAGUACCUCAGUCUCUCAUCCAGAUGAGAAAAAGGUAAAGUGCAUAGAAUUAAGAGAAAAAACUCAGAAAAUAAAAUGAAACUAUCCAAGAGUUUAUGAAAUGGGAGGUCCCUUAAUUUAAAUGUUGAAAGCUUCUUUUAAUAAGGAUUGUGACGCUAAUUAAGGACAACGUUCUGGCACUCUACGAAGAUAACCUGCAGACUAGAGUUAGAGCAUCGUGGCUUUAAGUGGUUUUCUCAAAUAAGGCAGCUACUACCUUACAACCCACAAACAACGUCAGCAUUGGCCAAAUAAGGAGCCGCAGUGCUUCAAGGCAUUGGCCAAUAUUGACCUCUAUUUGUCACUUGAGUCUAGUUGAUGCAAUUACACUUUGUUUUUGCCUAAUUUACUCUACUUUGACAUCAACUUCGUUUUUGCCUAAUUUAACUCUACUUUGGCAUCAACACUAAAUUCUACCAUUCAUUUGCUUGUAACCUACAAAAUACCAAAAAAAAAAAAAAGAAGUGAAAUCAUAGAACAAUCUCAAAUUAGGUAGGAUUAGAUAACACAUUUUCAGUGCUAUCAAUAUAUCCAUAUUUUCUCAUUUUUAUAUAGAUAAUAUUUGCAAAAUGAUAUUAUCAGUGAUAUAUUGAUGAUACCAAUGAUUUUCAUGAAAAAAACUGUUCAUCCUCAUUAUCUCUAUCGAAAACUCCAAUUUGGCGAUAUACCAUCGACAUAUAUCGCAAUUUUUCAAUCCUUACAGAGUUAAGGAUGAAACCUCCAACUUUUAGGGAUGAAACCAAUCUUUCCAAUAUCUAUAUCAUUCGGUUGAUCUUAAUUACCUUGCUCUUUUUUUUCGGUUUUUUUUUUUCUUUUAGAAAGUUAAUAUGCUUAUUUAUUUGUUGAUUUUACGAAAGAAAUUAAACAAAAUAAAAUAAACAUGGGACAAAAAUUAUUUGUUUUUUCUCUUUUUGUUAAAUCAUAUGCACAAUGCCUUUAAAUUUGCCUUUAAAUUUGAGUUUUGUGUCAAAAUACCCCUAAACUUUCAAAAGUUUCAAAAAUACCUUAAACGGUUAAAAAGAGUUCAAAAAUAUUUUCAAAAUUAAUUCUAAAUGGAAAUAGUUAAGGGGUGUUCGGUGUUGUUAGGACUAUAUUUGACUUACUUUUUAUAGCUUAACUAUUUUCACAUCACAUCACCUUAUUUAAUAAAUCUUCCAUCUUAUAGGAAAUAAUAAUCUAGACAUUGCUAAGAGUCCAAUACAACAAAAAAUUGCUUAACUCAUAGCUAAAACGAGUGAGAACAUGUCAAAACAAGAUCUGUGGCAAUUUCAUAAAAUAAGUAGAAAACAGACAUCACAAUCCUCCAAACUUCAAAAUCGCAUCAAACACGCGUUUUUGCGAGUAUUUUUUAUCCUAAAUUGACAUAAUGGUUUAUUUAAGACCAAAAACACUUUAUAAACUCAAUUAAGCAAUUCAUUUUUCAAUUUGUACCAAAUUUCUCUCAAAUCACUUGUAAACUCUCUCUAAAAAUCAAUAAAAUUCUAUCAAGAUUCUACAAGAAUGACCAGCUUCUUUCUUAAAAUCUUAGAGGCUACUUCCCAUCUUCCAAGAUCAUGAGAAACUAAAGAUAGCUUCUUGGGAAUUGGGUGUCUUUAGUAUAAUUCUUGGAGAAAUCAUAUCUUAUUUGUUUUUCUUGAUCAAUCUAUAAUAAAAAAUAUCCCCCAUUAGUUUGCUUGAUGACCCAAUAAAUUUAGGGCUUAAUUUUGGAUACACUAAGCUUGAUAAUUUCAUUGAUUAUUUAGCAUGAAAAGCAUCAUACUCAAUUGUCUUUGACAAUCAAGUAGAAAUUUCUCAAAACAAUCUUCCUUUAGAUAAUGGCAUUCCGAGUUUAUGAAGUCUCAAUUUAAUUCUCUUGAUCUUUGUGCAACUUUAAUGGAGCAAGUGAAAACGGGGUAAGAUGAAACUUUGUUCGUUAAGGUUAGGAUGAAUUUUAAUCCAUUUCUUAGUUCAUUAAUAUCGAGCAAUUGGUUCUUGGACCAAUUGAUCGAGGAUCAAUCGAAAUUGCAAUUACAAAUUCAAUGACAAGAAUGUUAUUGAUUAAAGCACCCAAUUCCCAUCUUUUAACAUUCGAGAGAAUUCAUACAUUUGUGUUGCUUUAAUUCUUUGUCAUAAAAAAUACCACAAAAACAUCUAUUACUUUUUUUAAUUUUCUUAUUUGCAACCAACACCCAAUACACAAAUACUUUAAUUCUUUGAAGAGUUUUUUGAGGUUGGGAAUUUUUACCCAAUUGUAUUCUUUUGCUGUUACAUUUUUUGUAUUUUUUGUGUAUCAUCAAUUUGUUUCUGCAAUAGAAUUAAUUCUUGUGUUCUAGGAAUGUUAAGCUUAAGGUUAGGUUGAGAGGUUUAGGAAGCGUUGGUUUAAGAAAACUGUAUUUGGAGUGCAAAUUUAGGUCGUCUGGGUUUAUAAAAAGAAAUUGUGUUAAGAACGCAGACUUAGGAAGCGUGAGAAUGAAAUGCAAGUUUUUAAAUUUUGGGUUUCCUAAAUAUUUUCUUGUAUUUAAUCAUUGAUUAGAUUUUAAACUAGUUUAUAUUUCUCAUCUUAAUAAUUUUAAUAUAUGGUUAACUUUAAAAUAUAAACUAAAAAAAUUUGGAAGAACAUUUGCUUUUUUCCUUUUUUAAUUUUGAAAUAGAGAUUUGACUAAAAUUAUAAUUUUAUAUGAUUUAUUGUUUAUUAAUUUGGUACUUUGAUUUUAAUAGGUUUUGAAAUAAUCUUGUCACUUUAAUUUACAAUAACUUUUUGUUUUCAAUUUUGCCCUUCUUUCUAGUAUAGAUUUGUGUGUUUCCUAUUUUGGUUUUAUUGUAAUUUAUGUUAUUUAUUUAUUUUUAAUUUAAAAUUAAUGAUUAAUAAAUACGUGGGUAUUAAUAAUUUUAAUUUUCUCUAAUUAAUUAUAUCAUUAAAAUUUCUUUAAAACCAUCUACAUCCUUAUAUCUCACACAUGCUCAUAUUCUCUUAUUUGGUAUUAAUUAUUUUGUAUUUAUUUCAAUCUAUCAGAUUCUUUUCCUUUUUUUUAAAUUUUUGGGUAUAGAUAUCUCAUUUUUUUUCUUUUUUAUUAAUGUUCACAAGUUACAACAAAAAAAGUUAGGGUUAACUAGAAGAAUAAUAAUUUUAAAGUUGUCAUUUUGAAAAUAGCAAAAUUGCUUUUCUUUUUCAAAAAUGGCAAAAAAAAAAGAAAAAAACAAUAAAUAAGAAUUUGCAAAAACCCAAAAUAUCCCUAUAACACAUAUAGAGUGUAAAGCUAUUUUCUUAAGCUAAAAUAAAAUAAACACACCUUAAGAAAUGUGGAAACACAAGUAUACCUACCUAGUUAUCCAAUCAAAACAGAACCCUUCAUCUCCAUUUGUCAGACUCGUUACAAUGAUCUUCAUUUUUCAUUUUUGUUUUUCGAUUCUCCAUCUUCCAUUUUAGGAGUCUCCAUCUUUCUUCGUCUCCAUUUUCUGUUUUUAUUUUUCGAUCUCAUAUUCUUCAAGCGAACAAACCCUAUAUAAUCUUUCCACCUUUGAAGCGGGCAAACUCCAAUAUAAAUUAACUUUCUACCAUCCCUUUUGCGAGUUAAUCUCAUUUGUGAUAAACAGUUUAAGCACACAAAUACUAUCUUCAUUUUCCAUCUUCGAUCCAUCUUUAAUUUUCAAAUCUACAAUCUGUAAUCUCAAACGCUAAGGAUGGGAGGAACAAAAAUCUUCGACAAGAUUCAAAAGUUGCACCUUUUUUCUCUUAGGGGAAAUUUUAACUGAUUUUUUUAAAAAUUAUUUAUAUUAUUUAACUAAUAAAAUAUGUAGAUGUAAUUUGAAAGAUUUUAUCUAAAAACACAAUACGUUAGCCUAUUUUGUUGGAAAGAAAUCAAAUUUCAAAACAAAUUAAGAUCUUACUACUAAAACUGAUUUUAACUUCCAAAUUAAAAAUUCAAAUUUUAAAAAUAAAUUAAGAUCGAAAGAUUAAAAAUUCCGUAAUUAAGAAUAUAUAGAUUGAACGAUUAAGAAUAUAUAAAUUCAUAAGUGCAUAUCACAAAUAAAUCAGGUGUGAGUUAGAGACAUCUUCAUUAUUUAAUAAUUAAUAAUAUAUAAAUUCUAACAAAUUAAACAAACUAUUUUGAAUAACGUUAAAAUAUUCAACAAAGAUAUUAAAUUUCAAAAUAUUAAGAAGAUGUUAUGAUAGGAGACUGUAGUCAUGCACAGCGAAAAAAGAAUCGAAUUUCUACCCUAAUUGCCACAAUUAACAUGUAACCAUAAACUAAUCAAAUUAGGGCUUUAAGAAAUAUUACCUUUGAAGCUUUCAAAAGGUUUGAUAUCUUCUUACCAAUUCUAACCGAGACCACCACUAGUACUCAACUGCUAUCCUCUAGACAAAGAACCGGGUUGUGGGACCCAAUUUUGGUGUAGAAAGUAAUGGAGAUAAAAUGAGAUUGGAAGCUUUCUUUUUUU
rnacentral:lncRNA from 1 species